AAUAGAUACCCGGGUAGUCCACGCCGUAAACGAUGAGUGCUAAGUGUUAGAGGGUUUCCGCCCUUUAGUGCUGCAGCUAACGCAUUAAGCACUCCGCCUGGGGAGUACGGUCGCAAGACUGAAACUCAAAGGAAUUGACGGGGGCCCGCACAAGCGGUGGAGCAUGUGGUUUAAUUCGAAGCAACGCGAAGAACCUUACCAGGUCUUGACAUCCUCUGACAACUCUAGAGAUAGAGCGUUCCCCUUCGGGGGACAGAGUGACAGGUGGUGCAUGGUUGUCGUCAGCUCGUGUCGUGAGAUGUUGGGUUAAGUCCCGCAACGAGCGCAACCCUUGAUCUUAGUUGCCAGCAUUUAGUUGGGCACUCUAAGGUGACUGCCGGUGACAAACCGGAGGAAGGUAGGGAUGACGUCAAAUCAUCAUGCCCCUUAUGACCUGGGCUACACACGUGCUACAAUGGAUGGUACAAAGGGCUGCAAGACCGCGAGGUCAAGCCAAUCCCGUAAAACCAUUCUCAGUUCGGA
rnacentral:rRNA from 1 species